AGUGGAUGGGGAGCAACCUAGUUGUGCGUGUGUAAAGGUAGUGCCAAGAAAAGCGGUGAUCAUGAUGAAAAUCAAUUCCCGGUACCCGAAACCGACACAGGUGGGCAAGUAGAGAAUACUAAGGGGCGCGAGGUAACUCUCUCCAAGGAACUCGGCAAAAUGACCCCGUAACUUAGGGAGAAGGGGUGCCACCGAGAGGUGGUCGCAGUGAAGAGGCCCAGGCGACUGUUUAGCAAAAACAUAGGUCUCUGCAAACUCGAAAGAGGAGGUAUAGGGGCUGACGCCUGCCCAGUGCCGGAAGGUUAAAGAAGUUGGUCAGUCUUAGGAUAAAGCUAGCGACUGAAGCCCCGGUGAACGGCGGCCGUAACUAUAACGGUCCUAAGGUAGCGAAAUUCCUUGUCGGGUAAGUUCCGACCCGCACGAAAGGCGUAACGAUCUGGGCGCUGUCUCGGAGAGAGGCUCGGCGAAAUAGGAUUGUCUGUGAAGAUACGGACUACCUGCAUUUGGACAGAAAGACCCUAUGAAGCUUUACUAUAGCUUGGAAUUGUGUUCGGGCUUCCUGUGCGCAGGAUAGGUGGGAGCGAAGAAGGUAUUCUUGUGGGGAUACUGGAGCCAACGGUGAGAUACCACUCUCAGGAGGCUAGAAUUCUAACUUAAUUAAGGACAGUUUCAGGUGGGUAGUUUGACUGGGGCGGUCGCCUCCAAAAAGGUAACGGAGGCGUACAAAGGUUCCCUCAGACUGGUUGGAAAUCAGUCGCAGAGUGCAAAGGCAGAAGGGAGCUUGACUGCGAGAAGUACAGUUCGAGCAGGGUGGAAACACGGUCUUAGUGAUCCGACGGUGCUGUGUGGAAGGGCCGUCGCUCAACGGAUAAAAGUUACUCUAAGGAUAACAGGCUGAUCUCCCCCAAGAGUUCACAUCGACGGGGAGGUUUGGCACCUCGAUGUCGGCUCAUCGCAACCUGGGGCGGAAGUACGUCCCAAGGGUUGGGCUGUUCGCCCAUUAAAGCGGUACGUGAGCUGGGUUCAGAACGUCGUGAGACAGUUCGGUCCAUAUCCGAUGUAGGCGUGAGAAUAUUGAGAGGAGCCUUCCUUAGUACGAGAGGACCGGGAAGGACGCACCGCUGGUGUACCUGUUAUGAUGCCAAUUGUAAACGCAGGGUAGCCAAGUGCGGAGAGGAUAACCGCUGAAAGCAUCUAAGUGGGAAGCCCACCUCAAGAUGAGUAUUCUGGUGUAAGGUCACGGGAAGACGACCCGUAAAUAGGCACGAGGUGGAAGUGCAGAGAUGUAUGAAGCCGAAGUGUACUAAUAGACCGUCGGCUUGACC
rnacentral:rRNA from 1 species